UACGUAGGUGGCAAGCGUUGUCCGGAUUUAUUGGGUUUAAAGGGUGCGUAGGCGGCUUUGUAAGUCAGUGGUGAAAUAUGGCAGCUCAACUGUCAAGGUGCCAUUGAUACUGCGAGGCUUGAGUACAGAUGAGGUAGGCGGAAUUCCGCGUGUAGUGGUGAAAUGCGUAGAGAUGCGGAGGAACACCAGUGGCGAAAGCGGCUUUCUGGUCCUUAACUGACGCUGAGGCGCGAAAGCAUGGGGAGCGAACGGG
rnacentral:rRNA from 1 species